CCAUUGAAAUACCGGUUCCCAUACGAUCUCUGAAUUUAGGCAACAUCGAGCCUGUUUAGUACCUAGAUGAGUGAUAGCUUGGGAAUAUUGGGGGGGCUGU